rnacentral:rRNA from 1 species
GACGUAGGGGGCCAGCGUUGUUCGGAAUUACUGGGUGUAAAGGGUUCGUAGGCGGUGUAGCAAGUCGGGAGUGAAAUCUCUGGGCUUAACCCAGAGGCUGCUUCCGAAACUGCUGUGCUUGAGUGUGGGAGAGGCGCGUGGAAUUGCAGGUGUAGCGGUGAAAUGCGUAGAUAUCAGGAGGAACACCGGCGGUGUAGACGGCUAUCUGGACAGUAACUGACGCUGAGACACGAAAGCGUGGGGAGCAAACAGG